rnacentral:rRNA from 1 species
GAUGAACGCUGACAGAAUGCUUAACACAUGCAAGUCGAUGGGGAAGUGGUGCUUGCACCAUGGCAACCAUGGCGGACGGGUGAGUAACGCGUAAGGGACUUACCUGCAGGACUGGGAUAACAGGGGGAAACUCCUGACAAGACCGGAUAAUGUCAUGGAGCUGCAUGGCUUUAUGAUGAAAGGAGACGCCUGCGGAGAGCCUUGCGUCCUAUUAGCUAGUUGGUGAGGUAAUGGCUCACCAAGGCGAAGAUAGGUAGCCGGCCUGAGAGGGUGGACGGCCACAAGGGGACUGGGAGACGGCCCUUACUCCUACGGGGGGCAGCGGUGGGGAAUAUUGGAAAAAGGGGGCAACCCUGAUCCAGCAAUUCGGUGUGCAAGAAGAAGUUUUUCGGAUUGAAAAGUGCUUUCAGCAGGGAAGAAGUAAGUGACGGUACCUGCAGAAGAAGCGACGGCUAAAUACGUG